CCUACGGGAGGCAGCAGUGAGGAAUAUUGGUCAAUGGACGAGAGUCUGAACCAGCCAAGUAGCGUGAAGGAUGACUGCCCUAUGGGUUGUAAACUUCUUUUAUAUGGGAAUAAAAUGUUCCACGUGUGGGAUUUUGUAUGUACCAUAUGAAUAAGGAUCGGCUAACUCCGUGCCAGCAGCCGCGGUAAUACGGAGGAUCCGAGCGUUAUCUGGAUUUAUUGGGUUUAAAGGGAGCGUAGGUGGAUUGUUAAGUCAGUUGUGAAAGUUUGCGGCUCAACCGUAAAAUUGCAGUUGAAACUGGCAGUCUUGAGUACAGUAGAGGUGGGCGGAAUUCGUGGUGUAGCGGUGAAAUGCUUAGAUAUCACGAAGAACUCCGAUUGCGAAGGCAGUUCACUGGACUGCAACUGACACUGAGGCUCGAAAGUGUGGGUAUCAAACAGGAUUAGAUACCCCAGUAGUC
rnacentral:rRNA from 1 species